rnacentral:rRNA from 1 species
CCUACGGGGGGCAGCAGUGAGGAAUAUUGGUCAAUGGACGAGAGUCUGAACCAGCCAAGUAGCGUGAAGGAUGACUGCCCUAUGGGUUGUAAACUUCUUUUAUAUGGGAAUAAAAUGUUCCACGUGUGGGAUUUUGUAUGUACCAUAUGAAUAAGGAUCGGCUAACCCCGUGCCAGCAGCCGCGGUAAUACGGAGGAUCCGAGCGUUAUCCGGAUUUAUUGGGUUUAAAGGGAGCGUAGGUGGAUUGUUAAGUCAGUUGUGAAAGUUUGCGGCUCAACCGUAAAAUUGCAGUUGAAACUGGCAGUCGUGAGUACAGUAGAGGUGGGCGGAAUUCGUGGUGUAGCGGUGAAAUGCUUAGAUAUCACGAAGAACUCCGAUUGCGAAGGCAGCUCACUGGACUGCAACUGACACUGAGGCUCGAAAGUGUGGGUAUCAAACAGGAUUAGAUACCCCAGUAGUC